rnacentral:rRNA from 1 species
CGGAGGGUGCAAGCGUUAUCCGGAUUUAUUGGGUUUAAAGGGUCCGUAGGCGGAUCUGUAAGUCAGUGGUGAAAUCUCACAGCUUAACUGUGAAACUGCCAUUGAUACUGCAGGUCUUGAGUAAAGUAGAAGUGGCUGGAAUAAGUAGUGUAGCGGUGAAAUGCAUAGAUAUUACUUAGAACACCAAUUGCGAAGGCAGGUCACUAUGUUUUAACUGACGCUGAUGGACGAAAGCGUGGGAGCGAACAGGAUU